rnacentral:lncRNA from 1 species
CCCAACCAAUAUUUUCCUUGCCCCCAAAUUGGAAAACCCUAACAAUCGCACAUCAUCUGCCUCUAUCUUGUAUAGGUCGGUCAGCGGCAAACCACCACGCAGAAGCUUUCAAUCAUCAUCAUCAACUGGCAACACAAACAGAAUGCGAAGUGGGUCGGAGAUGAAGUUUUCCUCAAAAGCAUUCUAAACUCUACCGAGACUGUAGCAAGAGGAAGGGCCCAGAGCUUGGACCCAAAUGAUCUAGUUGGUGGUACAGAGAUUGGACCAAAAUGGUGUGAGGUAAACGUUCAAGUACCAAUAAAAAAGAUGAAAACUUGGUAAGACCAUAUGGUUUAUAUUCUACAAUUCAAGAUUGUAUUGGUGCAUCUAUCGCAUGGCCUCAUCUCGGUAGUCCAUGAGAAUUGAGGACGCAUGAUGACUCAAGAUUUUAUGCUUCUAUUUAUUUAAUUGCUUCUAAUUUCUUUGUUAAAUGUUAAGACUUUAUGUUAG